GACGAACGCUGGCGGCGUGCCUAAUACAUGCAAGUCGAGCGCUGAAGGCUGGUACUUGUACCAACUGCAUGAGCAGCGAACGGGUGAGUAACGCGUGGGGAAUCUGCCUUUGAGCGGGGGACAACAUUUGGAAACGAAUGCUAAUACCGCAUAAAAACUUUAAACAUAAGUUUUAAGUUUGAAAGAUGCAAUUGCAUCACUCAAAGAUGAUCUCGCGUUGUAUUAGCUAGUUGGUGAGGUAAAGGCUCACCAAGGCGGUGAUACAGAGCCGAACUGAGAGGGUGAGUGGCCGGCUUGGGACGGAGACAGGGCACAAAGUGCUUCGGGAAGCAGCAGUAGGGAAACUGGGGCAAGGGACGGAAGACUGACCGAACAGCGCCGAAGGAGUGAAGAGGGUUUUCGGAUCGGAGAACUCUGUUGGUAGGGUAGAACGUUGGUGAGAGUGGAAAGCUCAUCAAGUGACGGUAACUGCCCAGGAAGGGACGGCUAACUACGUG
rnacentral:rRNA from 1 species